rnacentral:misc_RNA from 1 species
UCUCCGUUGGUGAACCAGCGGAGGGAUCAUUACCGAGUUUACAACUCCCAAACCCAAUGUGAACGUUACCAAACUGUUGCCUCGGCGGGGUCACGCCCCGGGUGCGUCGCAGCCCCGGAACCAGGCGCCCGCCGGAGGAACCAACCAAACUCUUUCUGUAGUCCCCUCGCGGACGUUAUUUCUUACAGCUCUGAGCAAAAAUUCAAAAUGAAUCAAAACUUUCAACAACGGAUCUCUUGGCUCUU